AGGGGUGAUGAAAGUGAAAACAAGAAGAAGAAGAUGAGGAAGGAAAAAGAAAGUGUGAGGCUGUGGCUGUUAAUAAUGUUAGUGAUGAUGAUGAAGGGGCUAAUGGAAGUGAAAGGAACAAAGAGUUUGAGGCGUCUGUUGCGGUUCUUAGUGCAGAUGAUGCAGGGGGUGAUGAAAGUGAAAAGAACAAAGACAGCAAGGAGGCUGUUGCCGUUGUUAAUAGUGCAAAUGAUGCAAGGUGGGUGAUGAAAGUGAAAAGAACAAAGACAACAACGAUGCUGUUGCUGUUGUUAAUAGUGCAAAUGAUGCACGGUGUUGUGAAAGUGAAAAGAAGAAAAAGAAAAGGAAGAAGAAGGGUGGCGAAGAUAGUGAGGAGGCUAUUGCUGUUGUUAAUGGCGCAAACGAUGCGGGGGCCCGAUGAAAGUGAAAUGAAGAAAAAGAAGAAGAGAAAAAGAAAAGAUGCAGUAGAGGAGUAGAUGAGGAGGUUUCAGAAAUUUCCAUUUAAUUACUUGAUCUUUUUGCCCCCAUGUAUUUUUGGCUCCUAUUGGAGCUUUUUAGUAGCUUUUGGAACAAUUAGUUUGAGUGGUUUAA